rnacentral:snRNA from 1 species
GUGCUUGCUUGGACAGCGCAUAUACUAAAAUUGGAAUGAUACAGAGAUUAGCAUGGCCCCUGCACAAGGAUGACGUGCAAAUUUGUUAAGUAUUCCAUAUAAAA